rnacentral:rRNA from 1 species
AGGACUAACGCUGGCGGCGUGCCUAACACAUGCAAGUCGAACGAGGUAGCAAUACCUAGUGGCAGACGGGUGAGUAACGCGUAGAUAAUGUGCCCUCUUGCGGGGGAUACCGUUUCGAAAGGAACGUUAAUACCGCAUAAUACGGCUUCGAGGCAUCUCGAGGCCGUCAAACUUCCGGGGCGGGAGGAGCAGUCUGCGUUCUAUCAGCUAGUUGGUAAGGUAAUGGCUUACCAAGGCUACGACGGAUAACUGGUCUGAGAGGAUGAUCAGUCACACUGGAACUGAGACACGGUCCAGACUCCUACGGGAGGCAGCAGUGAGGAAUAUUGCGCAAUGGGGGAAACCCUGACGCAGCGACGCCGCGUGGAGGAAGAAGGUUUUCGGAUUGUAAACUCCUGUCAGUUGGGAAGAGAAUGGACGGUACCAACUGAGGAGCUUCGGCUAACUACGUGCCAGCAGCCGC